GAUGAACGCUAGCGAUAGGCUUAACACAUGCAAGUCGAGGGACCGGCGCACGGGUGCGUAACGCGUAUGCAACCUGCCUGUAAUUAGGGAAUAACCCGGUGAAAGUCGGACUAAUACCCUAUAAUUACAGAUGGGCAUGCGUCCCAUUAGCUAGUUGGUAAGGUAACGGCUUACCAAGGCGACGAUGGGUAGGGGGACUGAGUGUUUGUGCCCCCAAGCUGGUAGUGAGACACGGACCUGACUCGGACGGCAGGAGGAAGUGAGGAAUAUUGGUGAAUGGGAGAGAGCCUGAACCAGCCAAGUUGCGUGAAGGAGGACGGUUUAUGGAUUGUAAACUUCUUUUGGAGAGGAAUAUGUACUCUACGAAUAAGUAUCGGCUAACUCCGUGCCAGCAGCCGCGGUAAUAC
rnacentral:rRNA from 1 species